CAACAAAGGAUUGUUUUCCCCUUCUAUUUCUGAUUAAAAAUUUCCGUCAAACACAAUCCCUUGAACGCACUACCAGUUCAAAUUCUUCAAAUAAUCCAUCAAAUCGAUUGAAAUCGAUCAAUUAAGCAUCCAUAUUCAUUCAAAAUAUACCAAAAUAAAAUAAAAAAAUUCAAGGCUCAAUCUUCUACAAAACCCUCGUAUUAACAUAUUUCAAGCUCUUGCUAUUUCGAUUUCUUCUAAACGAUGGUUUAAUUAUUCUCAUAUGCUUGAUUCAGGAUAUAACUUCUGUCAAGCCGAAGUAAAACGUGUCCUAAUCAAAACAAAGUAUUUUCCUGAAGAACAUUGUGUUUCAGAAAUACAGGCUUAGAUGCCGAUGUUUUGGUCAAGGCAUCUGGAUCCCAGGAAGGAUACAUUCAGUUACAUUCAGUUAUCGUGUUUCCAUUUCCAACAAUUCAAUCUCCACCACUUCUAUUGGACAGAGUUCGGGAAGAUGGAAGGUAUAUCUAUAGAUACCUUCGAACUGUUCGACAAAAUUCCCAAGAGAGUCUUUCCUCGCUUUCUUGGUUCAUUGCUGUAAAAAAAGUGGUGGAUGAAAAGGGUAGUCACACAAACACUGUGCUUGAUCUGCAUUGGAACAAGAAACUCAAGAAGGGAACUUCCUUUGGUGGAAUCAACUCACAUGUACCAUGGCUUGUUGAAAACUACGUGAAGAAGAAAUAUUAGCUGCAGCUCGUCAAGUGGACAAAAUCCUUCGAAUCAUUGGAGAUUUGACUUAUACUGAAAAAUUGUUUUGCACAGUAACAUACUUGUAGGAAACAUUCCAUCCGAGUUGGGAAACAUGACUAGGAUUCAUUACUUCUUUAUAGGAAAUCUCAGUGUAAAGGCAAGGACUUCGGGCUCCAAUACCUUAUGGCCUUCUUAUGCAUUGCAUUGGGUGCCCUUGUUCUAUUUCUCCUUAUCUUGUUAGUAGCAUUUCGAUCACACAAUCCAAAACCUUUUGCAGAAGGGUUGCCUGAAAAACCAGAUACUUUUUCAUCAAAUAAACAACAUUGAUCCCUGUUAGGGGCUAAUAAAGCGUACUUAUUUCUUA